rnacentral:lncRNA from 1 species
AUUUCAUAAACUUUUUUCGUCCUUUAGGAUAAAUUUCAAAAAUUGGAGUGUCUUUUUGAAUUUUAAGUGACACGAGAAGUAUGGCUAAAUCUCUACUAAUUAAUUUAUGCGGAACACAAUGCAGGCCCAACCACUCUGAUCUAUGAUGAUGAUACCUAGGGUUAUAAGGUUAUAAAUAGAGAGACUAGGUGGUUUCAGCAAGUAAGUGAGUUAAAAUUUCACAUUAUAUCAUGAAUGUUUUAUAUGAGAUGAGAUAUGAUAUUAGAGCUUGUUGGGGAGACCAGGGAACGUCAGAAGAGACAAUAAGUUAAACAUUCAGGACCCCUUACAGACAUUGACACCAUAUUUUCACCAAAAUAUUAAGAUGUUUGGUAUAUGAGUCAACUAUCUUAUAUUUCCAUUUCUCUUUUCAUGCGCGAUGUGAGACUAACUACCAAGUUGAAUCAUGAUUUUAAUACCACUUGUUGUAUAAAACGAGGAGUGUCAAGAGCAACACUGAGCUAACCUUUUAGACCCUUAAGAGACAUUAACACCAUAUUUUUGCCAAAAAUCUCAAGACAUUACGUUUACGAGUCACCUCUCUUAUUUAUCCAAUAUUUUUUUUUCAUUCAUAAUCAAUGUAAAACCAACUGCUCACACUUGAAUUUUAACAUGUUAAAGAAUGAUCUUCUUGUUUAUUGAUGAAGGGUCUUGAACAAUGAUUCUAUACUCUAUAACAUAAUUUUCCUUUGCAUUAUGUGUUUUUCUCUAAAAAAAAUAUUAUACAAUGGAAAUUAAAAAAAAAAAAAACCUACAAAUUUUAGUAGGAUAUUUUAUGUAUAAAUUUACACUUGAUAACGCAGUCUUUUUUAUGUAUAAACAGGUAGGCAUGUUACUUUCUCAAUCAUUAAACUAUCAUAAUUUUUCAUUUAUUAUAAUAAGUUAAUAACACAAAAUAAUAUAACAACAACAACAAGAAGAAUAGGAAUGAUUUUCUUCAACAAAAAAAGAAAAACAAGAAUAGGAAUGAUAGAGAAAAAUAAAAUAUGUAAACCACUUUCUCAUUUUUUUUUAGGAAAUAGCAAGAAUUAGUCUUUGUGAUCAUACCUAGUUUGCAUCGACGUUGUUGCACUACGAUAUUUAAUAACCGAAAUUUGAAUUUAGAAUUUUCUACUUAUUCAUCUUAAGAGUGAAACUAAAAAUAAUAAAUUUAAAAUUUUACGCAGCCUAUGCUUAUUUUCAAAAUAUCUUUACUUUUCGAAUUAUAUGAUCGAAACACCAUUUGAUUUAUCUAAUCUGAGAUAUACUUAUAUAUAAGCAACAAUCAAAACUCCUCCCAUUUAAACAGUUGUGAAUUUUACUUUCAAAAACAACAAAAAAAACAUGUAAAAAAAACACCAAAAAAUUUUAAAAACAAAUAAAACUAAGGUAAAUUUUUACGGAUUUUUUCAAGAAUAUGAAAAAAAAAAAAGGUCUAAAUGAUGGAAUUUUAAAUUUUGGAGGGCGGAGUCCCGCAAGAAGUCCCUUCUGUAAGUGUCUUGUUCCUUGGUUUUUUCUAAUUUUGUGGCCAAGUUUAGGAGCAAUCUGAUCAAACACUCUGAAAAACUGUAUUUUUGAAUGGGACACCCGGAAAACACAGUAGAAACAACUAACAAUGACCUAAAACGCAACGAGGGGAGUUAUGAUGGUUAGUAUUGUUCUUAAACUAGUUAUCCCCAUCACAAAAGGGUUUAGUAUUUGUGUUGAUAGAGUUCAUAUUAUAUAACAUGAACCCAUUUUUCCCAUGAAUUAUUGGCAUAAGAGGAGGUUCAGAUUUUAUAACUCAAAAUAACAAAUUUUUUUAGAUUUUAUCAUCUGAAUUCCCCCUAUACAUGCUUAAAAGUAUGUUCUAUGGGGAUAUUCAGAUUAUAAAAUCCGAAGAAUUUAUUUUUUUUCUUCAGAUUUUUUAAUCCUAAUCAGUGAAAAACUCAUUUUUCCGUCUAAAAAUAGGGGAAAAUUCUUUUCAGAUUAUAUAGUUCAAAAAUCCUAAGGACAUUUUUCAGAAAUAAUAAUAGGGCGCAUGAGAAGAUCAUGGAGUGGGAAAAGUAAUAAUCUGUGUGCAUUACCAAAUAACAUUUUUUUCACUAGAUUGGUCUCUGAGGUCCGAACUUACUUUAUCAUCGGAAAAUUGCUCAUUAGACUUCCGAAACUGCUCCCAUGCACCCCCAAAGGCAUUGUAAAAUUUAUUUAAUUGAUGCACUUAGGUGCAAUUCAUAGGUUAAUCCUAUUGAAGAGCAUAAAUCCAGAGUGCAUUUAUCCACUAAGUAUUGAACUUCACAUUUCAUUAAAACUGUAAUUGCAUAUGGCAGCCAUAUUAGACAAGAUAUAUAUCAAGUAGAAGUAAUAUGAUAAUUGAUUGAUCUUUUCCCAAAUAUAAUCCAAAUGAAUUGAUACUAUUGGCUCAAAAUUCAUCAGACAUUCAAGGUCCAAACUGCAAAGUAGCCUCAGAUGUAGCAGUGAAAAUGAAAUCGUGCCCAACCUUAAAAUGGAAAGGUUUUAAUGAUCACAAAUAAACAAAGCUCCAGAAGGCAAACACACUCAGUAUGAGGUGUGAGUGGGAACAUGUCAACUGGUUGUAGGCUUAUUAGCUUAUAAUCAACGUCCCGUGCACAUUGGCAGGAUUGCAUGACACAUGCACUAUGCGAGGUGCCCUAUGGUUUUUUCUGCAUGGCUAAUAAUAGAGCAAAUUCAAAGUAUGAACGACACUUGAGUGCCGCUACAACAUAAUUGAGAUUUAUUUCAAUUGUUACAAAAUCAAGAAAAAUGUUAGUAAAUAAAUUUAGUAAUAUUUGAACAAUUGUUAGAUAAAACCCUUGUUAGAAAUGAGCUUUAGUUACAAUUUAUAGUAUUAUCUCUGACAUUUAAAAAGUGUCACAAAACAAAAUGUUAUAUUAUUGUAACACUUUUUGCAUCACUAGUAACAAUGAAGAAAUGUUACAGAGCUGUAAAAAAUGUCACAAACUUGUCUAAACUAAAAAAUUGUGAAUCUACCAAAAAAUGUUACUGAUCGAAAUAGAUAAGAAAAAAUGGAUUAUGUAUAAGAGUUUUUGUACUCAAUCCACCACAUUGAAUCUAGAAAUCACAUAACGAGUGCUUUUACAUAAUUCAAGUAAAUCACAAUACUAAAUUUGGAUCAACAUUUAUUAGAUCAACAAUUUUGGAUAACAUUAGUACAUUACAAUGAAAUAAGAUAUCCUAACUAAACUUAUUAAUCACUUUUUCCAUUUAAUAGAGAUAUUAUAUUAAUACUGAUAAUUUUCAUUUAAUAUCUAUUUAUAUAAAACCGCAAAGAAAGAGACAAGAAUACCCAUGAAGCCUUCAGUGGCAAAUAAAAAAAGAAAUACUUGUUAAUGCUAAAGAGGUUGAGUAAAGAAUAUAUGCUUAUAAGGCUCGGAGAGGUAGAGAAAAGAAUUUUGUGAAGCCUAGUGAGGAAUAGAAAAGAAUACUCGUAUGGCCAGGAGAGGCAAGAAUAAUACUCAACUAAAGAGGCAUGUUUCAAAAUCUUGACAAAUCCAAAACUGGUUCUUUUGGUUGCCCUUUGACACAUUAUAAUACAGGUGGCGGAGCCCUACAUGGGCUGGCCCACCCGGAAAAAUUAAAAAACUAAUGAUUAUAGGUCAAUUUUACGAGAUUUUAUGCAAUUUUGUGUCGGUUUUAUGUUUUGGUUGAUCCAAAUUCCUGUAAAGUGGUGUAGUGGUCCACCCGAAAAGUUAAAUAAUUCAAUUAUAGGUCUAUUUUGCGAGAUUUUAUACAAUUUUAUGUUGGUUUUAGGUUUCGGUUGAUCCAAAUUCCCGCAAAUUGAUGUAGUGGCCCACCCGAAAAAUUUAAAUAAUUCAAUUAUAGGUCUAAUUUGCGAGACUUUAAACAAUUUUUCAAUAGUUAAUUUUAGUGACCCACCCUAACAUUUUUUUCUGACUCCGCCACUGAAUUCAGGGAGUCUGACGAGGCUUUGGAAAACAAUACAAAAACAUUUGGAGGGGUGGUUAAUAUAUUUGUUCAACCAGUUAAUUAUAGUGGAUUAAGUUAAUUAUAGUGGAUUAAGUCCUUCGAGUCAUGAAGGAAAAAUCUCUUUUAAGUGGAGCACUAUACUCCCUCCGUCUCAAAUUGUAAGACGUUUUGGGCAUUUCACACAUAUUAAGAAAUGUAAUUAAUAUUGUGUGGGGAAUAGAUAUUAUGAGUUGUUUUACAAAAUUGUCCUCAAUAAAUUAUAUGAGAAAGAUAAAUGAAGGAAUUGAAAGAAGAUAAAGUAAUAAAUAGUUAAGGAUAUAAUAGAAAAAGUAACAUUAAUUUUUCAUUGGUAUCGUAAAGCGACAUAUAAUUUGGGACAAAUAUUUUUUCUAAAAUGACAUACAAUUUGGGACGGAGGGAGUAUGUCACAACGGGUUGUGAUACGAUUUUCUUCAAACAAAGAAUUGAGCAUAGUUUUCAACAAAAGUGUUUACAUUUUCAACACAAUUCAAACUCUAUUUCUCUUUUUUUUUUUUUUUUUGUACCUUUACAAUUUGCAUCUUUUAUUAAUUGUGUUGUUGUCUUUUAUUCACCGGCAAGGAGUUGGAACACUAUGAGUGUUAGUGUGUGAAUUGAAAAAUUCAUGUCUCAUAUCAAAUAGAUUACACACAACACGAUCUCCAACACAAAAACACUAAUGAUGUAUGUAAUCUAUCCAAUGUGAGAGUUAUUUUUGUAAACAAGUGAUAAUGCACUCACACUAGUGAUGUGUCUAAUAUAUCCGAUAUGUGAUAUAUUUUUGUAAGCAAUUGAUAAUUUAAUCAACAUGACCAACACACGCACAAUGCCGCUACCAUUUGUCCGGUCGGGCUUGUGCUCAGGGUGUGUGGUAUAUUAAUUCACUACAAAAAUUUUGGUUAUUAUUGGCGGAACUAAUCCCUCAGUAGUGUAUCAAAUCCCUCAUAAUACACAUUACUGACAGAAUUUGUGACGAAAACGAUCCCUCAGUAAUACUGGCAUCAGUAAUGUUACUGGCGGAAUUUUUCCUCAGUAACGUAAUGGGUGAUCUGAUGAAGCAUUACUGAGGGAUUAUUCCGUCAGUAAUUACUGAGGGAAUAAUCCCUCAGUAAUGCAUUGUCAAAACCACCUCUUCAUUACCGAGGGAAAAUUCCGCUAGUAAUGUUUACAAAGAUAUGCAUUAUUGACAGAAAUUUUCCUUAGUAAUGUAUUUCACACUUUUUUUUUGGUGAUCCCUUCCAACUUUUUAAUUUUAAUUAAAGAAAUAAAAUUAAUUAAACAUAAAUAAAUUAAAGAAAUAAAAUUUUAAUUUAAUAAGUUUCAAAUUAAUUAGACGAUAUAUCAUCAUAAUAUUAGUGCAAUAAAUAAAUAGUUUUCUUACAAAAUCAUAAAUAUUUCAAUAAUAUUCGUCUAAUCUAAAAAACUAACAGAAUAAAUUAAUUAUCAUAAUAUUCUGGUAAAUUUGAUCUUGAUCUCCCUCCUAAGUCCUAAUCCAAAAUCCUUGAAAAUUCUUGCCUCUGGAUGUGUAGCAAAUCAAGUGCUUCGACUCUUCUUGAUUAAAUGUUGCUUGAGCUUUAAAUGUCAAUUAACAUGUUACCAAUGCUUAUGGAAAACAAAGAAGUGAAACAAGAAAUUAAUAUGCAGAGUUUCAAUCAACUCCAAAAUAUUAUUUUUUAUGGUAUGAUUAAACUCAUUAAUUGGCUUAGGAGCACCAAUCCACAAUAUCAGAAUUCAGAUAUAUAAAUAGAUGUCAUGCAGCGAAUUCAAUUGCACACACAUGAAAGAAAUGUAAUUCAAUUGCAUAUUGAUCAUAUAAAAUAACAAGAGUAUAUCUAUGUAACAGUUGAGUAUAUGCACCACGCACGAGCGCGCGCACACACUAUGAAAACAACAUCAACUACUUUAACAAAUAAAACUUAAAAGGCUAGGAACUUGCAUAUAAGCUUUCAUUUCUUGUAGUCAAUUCGAACAAAACCAACCAUAUUCAUCAACUUUUCUACACUCAUUUGUGUGAAAAGGAAAAACAAUAAGUUUCAGCAUAAUAAGAAGCAAAAGAAUCCUUGCGAAAACAGUAUGAACAUGUUCUAUAAGAUAAUCAAAAGGUAGGAUGCAUCCAAAUCACUAAAUGAAUGAUUUUUUUUAAUAAAAAGUUACUAUCAGAUGCAUAUAAUUUACAGCAGAGAUGAUACCAAAUGACAUUGACUAUCAGAUAAAAAUGGCAAGUUAUACAUUCAAACCUAAAGACCUCAAAUUCUCAAUUCAACAGACAUUCAAUAAAAAAAUUAAGGUGGGAGGUUAUACAUUCAGAUCUGCACACAAUCACAAUGAUAUAAAUAUUCAUAAAGACAUAAACUAAUUUACAUAUUCUUAAAUGUGGGAUGUGAAAGAACAAUCAAAAUGGGUCAUAUGAAAUAAUCUCAUCCAAACCAAAAUGAUUGAGGUUAUACAUCCAAACCAAAUUCUCAUGGCAUUACUAUAAUAUCUAUCUUCAAAGUCAAUUUUUCAACAGAAAAGCGAACACCAAAACUUACUUCUCCCUCUCAAAGUAAAUGUUACUCCUUAACUUGAACCUAUUGAAGACACAUCAACUCAAAAUCUUGUUUCUAAUGAGAGUUGGAAACUUUAUAUAAUCCACAUGUAUGUCUAUUACACAAUUUUAUCAGUAAAUCCAUUGUAGGAGAGAAGUACUAGUAUUCCCUUUCCCACAUAAACCAUGGCAUUCAAAGGACUCAGUUUGGAUUAACUUCUAAUAAAAUUUUGAAAAUUUCUCAAUUAAAACUAAAAAAGCUCAUAAUUCUUUGCUUAAAAAAUGUCCUUAUAAGUUCAAACUUCAAAGAUGCUUAUCGAAAAGCUAAACCAUAAGCUUCUAUAAAAACUAUUAAUAUGCAAAUAAAAAGCCAAUGUCUAAUAAAGUCACAGUUAACGCAUGGUUUCUUUUUUCAUAAGUAACUAGUUAAAAACCCGUGCUUCGCACGGGUUCAAUAACGUAUUCGAUAAAAAAAAUUCUUUAAAAGAAGAGAUGUUAAAACGACGGAACAUUGUGAUUCAUCGUAAAAUAUGUAUGGGCUGAUUAAGAGAGCAUAUAAUCAGUUUAUGAGAUUAGGAAUUGACAUAAUAUUUAGGAUGAAAACAAUUGGAACCAAUGAUGUGUGAAUUUACAUAUUAUCCAAAAUUAUAAAAAAGAAUGUUGUUGUAAUACCCAUAUUUACAUCAAAUGAAAAAGCAAAGAAGUAGCAUCAGUGAGUGAAGAUAAUCUAGUCUAGGAUUAGAGUUAAGGUGAUCUGUUGAAAGUGCGGAUCAUGAACACCAAAUCUUUAUUUGGAAACGACUUGAACGUGCAUAUUUUUAGGUGGCUUCUCUAGAUCAAAAAUUAACUUAUCACCUACCUCUAACAUAUGUUCUCGGCAAAAUUUGAACCAUUGGCCGCCUAAGUAUUUUUUGUAACUUGCUCUCUUUGCCGUUUUCAAGCGACACUUAUACCUUUUUUGAGCUUGUUUGUCGAUGAGUGUGAUUGUUUUCCGUGUUCCUUUUAGAAAUGUCAUUGAUAUCUCAUUUGAGAAGUGAUAGGUACAAAACAAAUUGCAGUGUUAAUUAGAAGUUAUAUAUAUGUACAUUUCUAAAACAUUUACCAAAGCAUUAUAAAGAUUUACUGUAGGAAAAUAACAUGUUUUAUUUUUCUCAAGAGAUUAGGAAAACAACAUUACAAUUAACAUGAUACUAAUUGGAACCAAUGAAGGAACCAACAAUGUGCAGAUUAACGUUACAUAAUUGUUAGGUUUAUAAAAGAGAUUGCAAGUUUCAUAGACUAACCAAAAAUGAAUUUUUGCCAAUACUUACAUCAGACAAAAUGAAAAGAACAAAUGACAUCCCAAAGUCAAGAUAGUUUACGACUACAGUCCAAAGCGAUACGUCAAAAUAGUAGAAGUUAAAAUAGUUCAACAACAAAUAUCUACUUUGGAACAACUCGAAUUUGCAAGUUCUUCUGUGACUUUUCGAGAUCAAAGAUGAGCUUACCACCUUCUUCCAUCACUCGUUAUCUACAGAAAUUGAACCACUGCCCACCCAAGUAAUUUUCAUAGCUUGCUCUAUCGGCGGUAAUGAGAUGACAAUUAUAUUGUCUCUGUGUCUGGUCAUCAAUGAGAGUGAUUGUUUUGCGCUUUCCUUUCAUAAUUGUUCUUGACACCUCGUUUGGAAAAGGCUAAACAGGAAAAUAACUGCAAUAUUAGUCUAAUGCAUAUUUACAUAGAUAAGAUGUAUGCGAAUAUAGUUACAUAUAAUUUAUAAAAUAAAGGUAGCAUAACUGAUUUUAAGCUAAAGAAAAUGUAACAUGACUUCUAAUUUAUCAUCCUAUUAUCUUCAAAAGUCUAGAUAAAUGCAUGCAUGUACAUUAUAUGUACCCCGUUGACCAAUUAACAUUGUUGAAACAAAUGGAAAUUAAGCAUCACUUCCGCAUGUGCAUAUAUAGCUAGCACCAAUUGACAUUGAUGUCUUCGAACAUUUGGUGCAACUCUCAUAAUACAAUCCAAAAUGGAUAAGAUUGAAUUUAGUUGUUUUCCAAAUAGUGAUGCAAUAUGUUUCCUAAAACAAAUUAUGCACAUGAAAUAAAGAAUAAUGCAAUAUGUAUUUUUAAUUUGUGCGUAAAAAAACUCAAAGCAUGUUUGUGCAUAAAAAAAGCAGACAUUGACUAAGUUUAUAAAUUCAGCAAUUGGCCUAACCUGAGACAGUUUGGAAAAAUCGUUGUACGAAGUAUGUUGAGAAGAAGUCGAACUAUGACUUAAGUUCUAACCGAAGUUUUGACUCUGAGCUUGAGAAGUGUUAAAGUCACGACAACAAUUCAAGAAACAUGGUCAAAAAACAAUCAAAUCGGAUUGUGAAAUAAUAAGUUACUCUAACACUGUAUUGUAAAAUCAUAAUGCAAACUUACUAAGUCUUAAACUUCUCAACAACCGGAUAAUGUAGGUUGAUGAGCAACCUCGAACCUGACCAAUUGUUACAUAUAUUUGGAUUGCCAUUGACUACAAAAUGGAAGCAAGGAACUCAAGGUAAAUAGAUGGUAAAUGAUAAAGUUACGGAGUAUUUUUCCCAUAGUGUUACAUCAACUAUAUUCCCACUACAUAAGGAAAGACAUUUUUCGAGUCAUUAUCAAACUUAUACAAAAUUCUAUCAUCUGAUGUUGACAAAAUAGAAAAUAAUACCUUUUAUAUUUAGCAAUGUUUAGUUUUUUUGAAUAAGAAAAAGAUAUGCAUAGUUUGUUACGAUAUAAAGGUGCAAUAUAUAUAUAUAAAAGAUAAGUAUAAUUUUUUUAGGCAUCUAUACCUUAUAUAUAUAUAUAUAUAUAUAUAUAUAAGAUAAGCAUAAUUUUUUUAGGCAUCUAUACCUUUUUUUGAAGAAAAGACAUUUAAUAUUUUACUUUUAAUUAAAAUCAAAAUUUUAUAAAAAUUAUACGCAUUAGCGUAACAAAAAAACAGACACACAUAAAGUAUUACUCUAAACGCUAAUAUGCGUGUCUGUAUAUUUGCGAGGUUGAAGAAAGAAAAUAAAAAUAUUAUGUAUCAUUAAAUGAUCGCGUAAAUAAAAAUAUUUUUGAGGUUGUUAUGAUUAAACGAUAUUUAAAUUAAAUAUAUAAGUGAUAAAAAGAUAAUAAAAUUUCUUUGAAAAAAAGGUAAUAAAAUUAAAUGGAACAUCCUUUAAAAAAUUAAAUGGAACGGCUAAAAAAAAUUAAAUGGAAGAAAAAAAUAUAUUGAAAUAUGAUAUUUGAAAAUAAAAGAAAAGGUUCCCAAAGUGAAUUGAAGAGAGAUGCUUGUGAAAUAAAUUAUCGAGAAGUAGUUUUUUGAAUUAGCAUUUAACAACUUUUGGCCAAAGCUCAUUCCAUUCAAUUUUAUGAAUUAAAAAAAGUACCUUUUUUAGUAAGUACUUAAUUGAUAUUGUACUUGGCCUAACUUCUUCUUAAAAAUAUAGAGAAGUUGAAAAAAAAAACGGGUCAAACGGUAUCUUAAUCUCCCACAACGGCAUUGUAGAAGCAGCUGAAUUUGGGAGAAAAAAUUAGAAAAUAGUUAAAAAUAAAAAAAAAUUGAAAAAUAGUCAAAAGUUUUUAAAAAUAUGAAAAUUGGAAAAUAAUUAAUAAAAAUCGGUGAGGUAGCACUCAACCAAGCAAUACUAAAAAAAAUUAUAUGCAUUAGCGUAACAAAAAACAGAUAGACGAACAUAAAAUAUUACUUUAAACGUUAAUGUGUGUCUGUCUAUAUUCGCGAGGUUGAAGAAAGGAAAUAAAAAUAUUUGGUAUCAUUAAAUGACAGCGUGAAUAAAAAUAUUUGUGAGGUUGUGAUGAUUAAACAAUAUUGAAAUUAAAUAUAUAAGUGAUAAAAAGAUAAUAAAAAUCUUUUGAAAAAAGAUAAUAAAAUUAAAUGGAAUUGUUCAAAAAAAUAAAAUAAAAUAAAGUUAAAUGAAAAGAAAACAUAUUGAAAUAUAAUAUUAAAAAAUAAAAGAAAAGGUUCUCAGCGUGAGUUGAAAAGAGGUGCUUGUGAAAUAUAUUGUCGAGAAGUAGUUUUUUAAAGUAGCAUUCAACAACUUUUGGCCAAAGCUCAUUCCAUUCAAUUCUAUGCAUUAAAAAAUAAUCUCUUUCUAGUAAGUAUUUAAUUGAUAUUGUGUUUGACCUAACUUCUCUUUAAAAAUGUAGAGAAGUAAAAAAACAACCGGAUCAAACGGUAUCUUAAUCUCCCACAAUGGCAGUGUAGAAGCAAUUGAAUUUGGGAGAAAAAAUUGAAAAAUAGUUAAAAAUAAAAAAAUUGGAAAAUAGUUAAAAUAAUUUAAAAAUAUAAAAAUUGGAAAAUAGUUAAAAAAAAUCGGUGAGGUAUCACUCAACCAAGCAACACUAAACAAAAUUAUAUGCAUCAGCGUAACAAAAACACAGACAGACAGACAUAAAAUAUUACUCUAAACGUUAAUGUGUGUGUAAAUAUUUGCGAGGUUGAAGAAAGGAAAUAAAAGUAUUUGGUAUCAUUAAAUGAUAGUGUGAAUAAAAAUAUUUGUGAGGUCGUGAUGAUCAAACAAUAAUGAAAUUAAAAUAAUUGAUAGUGUGUUUGACCUAACUUCUCCUUAAAAAUGUAGAGAAGUUGGAAAAAAGCUGGGUCAAGCGAUACCUUACCCACAAUGGCAAUUUAGAAGCAACUGAAUUUGGAUGAAAAAAUUGAAAAAUAGUUAAAAAAAUAAAAAUUAUAAAAGUUAUUAAAAAUAAAAAAAUUAUAAAAUAAUUAAAAAAAGGUGAAGGGCAAAAUGGGAAAUGCACCAUAAAAAUGAUGAGGUGGCACUAACCACACCCCAUCAAUAGGAAAUUACUAAAAUACCCCUCAUAGGGGCAAAAUGGUAAAAUCCUAAAGACUUAUCUUUAUAAUAUAGUAAGUAGAUUCUUAAAAGUUCAUUAGAACUACCACUCCCUAAGAUUCUCUUGCAUUGUAUAAUUUCAUUAAAACUUAAUUUUCUCAUACUAAUCACAAUACCCAUUAAUCUAACAUAAAGUUUUUGAGCCUAAUUGAUCAAAUUCACACAUGUAAGAACACAACAACAAAAAGGAACAAUCCAAACAUGUAACAACACAAUUGUAAAGAGGGAAAAAUCAAUUAGGGUUUCAGUUCUCAUUCUAUUGCAUGUCAAUUUCUAAUUGCUAAUUCCAGUUCCCUUUUAUUAUAAUUAGAACCUAAUUUGAGAAACUCACCUCAAUUAGUAGAAAUCCCUCAAGAUUUUGAUGAAGUGUGUGGGUUCACCAAGCUCCAAACCUUCAUUAUUCUUCAGUAAUAUAAGGCAGAUUAAAAUCCGUCAGUAAUCCAAUGUCAUGUGCAUCAUCGUUAUUGACGGAAGAAAAAAAAUCUGCCACUAAUAUAAGGCAGAUUGGUCGUUAACAACACCGACAGAUUUAUCGAGGGUUUUUUUUCGUCAGUAACGUGAGGGUUUUUUGGUGUUACUAAGGGGUUAUUCCGCCAAUGAUCACUGAGGGUCUAAAUCCCUCGGUAAUGCAAUUUUGAAUUGGUUAGUAAAUUGGGAAAUUCUUGUAGUGAUUUUUAAUGACUUGAAAACCUUAAAAUAAUUAAUUUUGUUUUAAAUUUUAUGUUUCGGUAGACGUCAUCGACUUGUAAGCGUUUUGCAUGCGUCAACAUGCGCUUGACACACACCAACGCAUGCUAAGGAUACGUAUGUGCGCAUCCUCCCUAGUCAACUCUUCAACCACACACUCUUUAAUGAAGUGAGAUCAAACAAUUUUUUUUUUUCAACAGUCAUUGGAUAUGUACAUGAUCCUUGGCUUGUCAACUAUAUCCAGAGCUCUUCCCCUCCCUUCUACUCACACAUCAAAACACAACAACUAGCGUGUUUUCUCUCUUCUUGUCAACUAUAUCACAACUUUUAACUAAAAUAUGUUUUUAAAACAUAAUGCAAAUACAACAUGAAGAUCUCAACAAAAAAUAUCAAUUUUUCCCUAAAAAAAUUAUUAAUUUUAGCAGGGUUAAUAAUAUUUAGGGCUAAAAAAGAUUUUGAAAUUUCUUCAAUAUUUAAUCCUUUAAAUAUUUUCCUUUACCAUUUUUAAGUCAACUUAUGUGUUUUUGAAAUUUAUAACUUUUUUGACGUCAUGUUUAAUACAUUAUACGAUUUUCUCGCAAAAUUUUGGAAAUUUUUAACAAGAGAAGAAUGAAAUAUACAUUUUUCUAUUUUUUACACUUAAAAAUUUAUAUUUAAUUCAUGAUAUUUUGUUAAAAAAUUCUAAAUUAUAUUUAGAGAAAUUCUUAUGCAACACCAACCAAUUGAAAAUCAAUCUCCAAAUUUCUGAAGACAUUAUGCAACCUGCAAACAAUGCCUGAUAGUUUCGACAUUGUUAAAACACAAAUCACAGCAUUGUUGAUGCACAUCUCGAAUAACUUCUCUAUUCCCCAAGAGACACCAGCCCGUCCUUGUUCAUUUCGUUCCACAAAAACCGGUCCCAAUAUAAUUCUACAUAAAAUCGGUGCUGCUCUUCUCCAUAUAACUUCUCUAUUCCCCAAGAGACACCAGUUUUGUGUUUCAUAUGAUGCAUAUCAAACACAUUCAUAGAACAUAUGCGUAGGUACCAUGCAUGGUCCAUGGUACUAUUGCAUAACGUGGCUUCCCUUAGCUAGACAAAUGUCCCAAACGUAGACUGAUGGAAUGUUUUUGGCACAAUAUGCAUAUUAAAUCUUUGUUGUACCUCUCAUCAUCCUAUUGAACUUAGAUAACAUAGUGGACAUGAAAAGGGACUGAUUUUGAUGUUCGUUUACCUCAUAAGAGAUCCAUGAACAGAAUUUUAUUAAAUAAUAUUCACUCCUCAUAUAUUAACUGUCACUCUAGGUCCUUUCACAUAAAUAAAGAAGAGUUACGAUACAUAGACAACUUUAGGUGACAAUACAACAUUUGACAUCCACGCAAAAAUCUGACAUGUGGUCAUGUGAACUCCAUACAAGCACACUUUCUCUUGCAUCUUUUUUUCUCUCUUCCUAGUGCAUGAGAUGUACAAAGGUGUAUGAGAAUAAAUGAUGUCUAGGUAACAUUUUCCAAUAAACAAAUAAGUGUAGCAAAUUUAUAAAAUUAUUUUUAUUAACUAUUGGAUGUUUUUUGACAAACUAUUAAUAUUGGGUGUUAAAAAUUAUCAUGAAUACAUAUUGGAGUAUAGACCUGAAAAUUAAUAAUGUAUAUACGUUCAUUUGGGAUAGAAUUUUAUAAAAUAUUUAAUAUGACAUGAAAAUUAUAAAAUAAUACUUAUUUUUAAGAUAUUUUUCUUUGGCUAAUAUUGGGGAUAAAAAUUAAACACCCAACCCUGCCCCCAAUGGGAAUGGGUCUUCCGACCCCGGCCCCGCCCCCACCCGUGAAAACUCUAUUUAAAUCAUUUUGGAUCUAUUGAACUCACACAAAUUAGUAGAACAUAUAUUAAUUUCAUUCAAUAAAAGAGCAAAUGCUAGAGAGAGUGUUUGUUAACAUUGCUCUCAAUACGAAACUAUGUCGUGUUAAUUAGAUGGAGGAUGUUUCUUGUUCAUCAUAUUAGGAGAGGGAACUGAUAGAUUAUUUCUCUAAACAACAUAGAUAUUCAUUGGAAUCUCCCACUUUUUUGUUUUUUUGACAAAUUGGAAUCUCCCACUUAGAUGGUCCCCUUUCCCUCGUCAUCAUCUCUGCAAAAUUCCAGAAUAACCGUUCGUUCCUUUUGUUCAAAAUAAUUUUUAAUAAGCAUACGUUUUUUUAAUUAAUUAUUAAUCUGUUAGUGAAGGGAACUGUGAGUUUUGUUAAUAAUGGUUGAAACAGCCCCGAUGUGCAAACUUGAGCCGUCACAAUUUCGGAUUCCACUUCAGUACCAUUAAAGUACCAGUGGUAUAUACCAUUGACUAAUUAUAGAGUAUGCCACCUACCAAUGUUACUUUAUAAAUAUUUUAUUUGAUAUAUUUUUUUAAAGGAUGUGUCACGUGACACAUUCUAAUUGGACAAUGAUACAUACCAUUAUGGUACACAAAUGCUUUACCAUAAUUUCAAAGUGUUGCACACACAACCAAAUAGGACCGAACUUAGCAAUUAGCAUGAGUGCGGAUCCUCUCCCUUUGUGGCGGGAACUGCAUCCUAACUUUUUAUCUCUCACAUACAAUCUAAUCUCUCUCAUCUUAUCUUAUCUUAUUUCCCUAAAAUUGUCUGAAGUUGGAGAAAGUUAGAGAGUUGAAUGAAUGUUAGGGAUCUAUUUUCACGAAUACAAAUUAUGUCGACCAAGGCUUGAUUCACAAUAUUGCACAUGUUAAGGUAACUAAAAGCAGUAACUUUUCAUUGAAAAACAUCAUUUAUUAAAAAGUUGUAUAUUUAAUAUAAAAUAUAUAAAUUUCAAGAUAAAUUUACUAUUUUAAAUUUUUUAAUAUAUGUAUAAAUUUGCACAUGAUAAAAAAAAUCAUUUUUUAUAUAUAUAUUUCAUUGGUUUUUUUAUCGGUGCUUGCAAUCUUAUUUGAGUAAUGUAUGUUAGACACUAAAUAUUAAUUAUUUCUCUCAUUUAAUAUUUAAAUUGUAGUUGCCUCAUUGUCAAAACAAAAAAAUUGUAGUUGCCUCAUUAUGGGACUUUAUUCCCUUUUGCUAGACCUUUAUUUGAACCUUUAUUAAAUAAUUUUGUAUUUUUUUUUUAACUCAUCCGGGUUUUCAGAGAAAAGAGACAUAAUAAUUUGGAGCUCGAUCAAGAGUAAGUAAAAUUUGACAAAAAAAAUUGUUUCAUUCAAGAAUCAAAUUUAAAUUUACAUGAAAAAUUUUACCUUUGGUGGAGGUCAUAAUCACUUGAGUUUUUUUUUUUAAGAAUUCAUAACCACUUGAGCUCAAUUGUUUGGUUAAUCAUUUUGUGUUUUCAUUCCUUACAAAUUAAACUCAUACAUUAAAUCAAGUAUUUUCUUUUCAUUCAAAAAAAGUCCAGUCAUUUUUUAUUUGUCAAAUAGUAAAAAAUAAAAAGGAGAUAAAUUCGCUACGUAUUUUCAGCAUAUCAAUUAAAUGAACCUAUAAAACCUGAGCUUUCUCAUUCCUGUCACAGUUGCAAUCACGUUUUACAAAAGAAUUAUUAAACAUAAAAAAAAUUCCAUUCAAAACAAAAAAAAAAAAAAAAAUUGACAUUUGAUGUGUGUACGUAAAUAAAGUCAUGGAAAAAGUGUGUAUGAAAAUAAAGGUUGUUUUAUAAUCUACUACAUAUAUACUCCGGUCAUAACUCAUAGAAAUAAUAUAAUAUUAAUCUACCAUACUACAAUAAUAUUCAGUUUUGGCUUAUAAAUAGGCCAUAGCAAACACUGCAAAACAUGCAAGAGAAGUUUGCUAGUAUCGGCACCUAUCAUCUCUAAAUAUUUCUCACUGCAUAGGGUAUCUAUCAAUUCUUCAACAUUAUCCCUUCAAUCCAUAAUCCUUGCUUCAACAUCAUGCAUUUUACCAUACUAAAUUGUUAUUUCUUUUAAGUAGUUUAAAUUAAUUACAAUUUUUGACAACCUGCAGAAAGGGAUAACUAUGGCAAAUCAAUCAUCUGAGCUAGCCAUUGAACAACUGAAGAAGCUUCUCAGGUUAAUUACUUUUCUAACAAGAAAUAAAAAUGCACACAUAAUUCAAUUUAAUGAUACAUAAAUUAUAACAUAUAGUAUUACUUAUUGGUUACAGAGAGAAGGAGGAACUUAAUGGGGUGGCCACAGCAAAAAUUGAGCAGCUUAUAGUUGAAUUACAGGGAUGUCAUCCAAAUCCAAUUGAACCUGCUGAUCAGAGAAUCAUUGAUGGUUUUACGUACUUCAAGCUCAACAAUUUCAAGUAAACUUGCAAAUUAAAUAAAAUUUUAAUAUGAUGCCUAUAGUUAGUUCAUUUUCGAAUAUCAAGUCCUUUAUAAUCAGGAUUCAUGGUUUAAUGAGUUCUCGUAAGAGUUUGAACUUAUAAUUUAAAGGGAAAGAGUUCAAAUUCCAUUUGCAUCACCCUAAAAUAUUCAUUAGUGUUAAUUUAUUUUAUAAUAAGUUCUCCUUUCAUCAAUUUUAAAAUUGGAAAAUUGAAUUCAUGCAUGCUUCCUUUUAUAUAUGGCAGCAAGAACCCGGAACUGUAUGAUCGACUUGCUAAAGGCCAGUCUCCCAAGGUGAUUAAUUAUUAGAUCUUUAUUUAUACAAAAAUCUUUUUUGUUUCAUUUAAUAUUAAUCUAUUUUUCAUUUUAUUUGUGUUGUAGUUUAUGGUAUUUGCUUGUUCCGACUCUCGAGUGAGUCCCUCUGUUAUCCUGAACUUUCAACCUGGUGAAGCUUUCAUGGUUCGAAACAUUGCUAACAUGGUCCCUCCAUUUAAUCAGGUCUACUUCACUAUUUUUCUAAAGAAAUGAAUUUCUAUAUGAUAUACACAUUAUUGAAGAGUUUUUAAUAAUUAAAUUUCUAUUCCACAGUUAAGAUACAGUGGAGUUGGUGCAACCCUUGAGUAUGCUAUUACAGCUCUAAAGGUAAGUGAUCAGCUUCUAUUCAAAAGUGUUUUAAAAUUUGUUUGUGAUUGUGACAUGACAUGUUAAGGUUUGUAACUCUAAUGUGAUUGCGAUUGAGGCUGAAUCAAUAAUCAUCAUUUUGGAUAAUGAUUCUAACAAAAAUCCAUUUUGGGGCUAUAAUAAUAAUUUUUAUUCUCAAAUAAUAUCAGAGUAUUUUGCCAUCAUCGUGGAAAUUCCAUUUUUUCUAGAAUUAAGCUCUUCCUUAGAGGAGGUAGAAAUCAUAAAAUCUUUUUGCCAUAACUUUCUAAAAGAAAAACAAAUCAUUAUACUUUUUUUUUUUUGGAUAAAAAUUAAUUACUUUUUUCAGGUGGAGAACAUCUUGGUUAUUGGACAUAGUCGCUGCGGCGGAAUCUCAAGGCUUAUGAAUCAUCCAGAGGAUGGUUCUGCUCCAUAGUAAGACAUGAAUUCUACAUAACAAUAACCUAAAAUAAAAUUGUUAAUAUUUGCAGUUUUUAUGGUUUAAUUGAAUAAUUGUGCAGUGACUUCAUAGAUGAUUGGGUGAAAAUUGGUUUAUCUUCCAAAGUCAAGGUUUUGAAAGAACAUGAACGCUGUGAUUUCAAAGAACAAUGCAAAUUCUGUGAAAUGGUUAGCUAAUUAUGUUGCAAUUAUAUAUACUUUAAUUUUCAUUCAACAACCAUACUUCAAAAAUUUAAACAUUAAUUAGUCACCACUUUGUAUAUACAGGAAUCAGUGAAUAACUCAUUAGUGAACCUGAAGACAUAUCCAUAUGUUGAUAGAGAAAUAAGGAACAAGAACUUAGCUCUGUUGGGAGGUUACUAUGAUUUUGUGAGUGGAGAAUUCAAGCUUUGGAAGUAUAAGAAUCAUGUCACUGAACCUGUUACCAUCCCUCUAAAAGGCCUUGACAUGACCAUCUAAAUCCUCAAGGAAUGAAGCUUUGAACCACUAUCUCAACUCUCAAGUGACUAGUUAUUUUAUACUAUGUACUUUUGUUUUCGGUUGUUCUUGUCUAAUAGUUUGGUUGUAAGGAUAUUUUAUGUGAAAUUUGGAAUCAUUAUAAUGUCCUUUUUCCGUGUUUAUUUGAGUAUGUGUUGGUCUUUAGGCCAAUAAAAAAAACUAUGUACUUUUAAAUUCUAAUUAAAUAAAUAAUUUGAG